rnacentral:rRNA from 1 species
UACGUAGGGGGCAAGCGUUGUCCGGAAUCAUUGGGCGUAAAGCGCGUGUAGGCGGUUCGGUAAGUCUGCUGUGAAAGUCCAGGGCUCAACCCUGGGAUGCCGGUGGAUACUGUCGGGCUAGAGUGCGGAAGAGGCGAGUGGAAUUCCCGGUGUAGCGGUGAAAUGCGCAGAUAUCGGGAGGAACACCAAUUGCGAAGGCAGCUCGCUGGGACGUUACUGACGCUGAGACGCGAAAGCGUGGGGAGCGAACAGG